rnacentral:rRNA from 1 species
UACAGAGGGGGCAAGCGUUGUUCGGAAUUACUGGGCGUAAAGGGCGCGUAGGCGGCCGGCUCAGUCGAACGUGAAAUCCCCGGGCUCAACCCGGGAACUGCGUUCGAUACUGGCUGGCUUGAAUCCGGGAGAGGGAUGCGGAAUUCCAGGUGUAGCGGUGAAAUGCGUAGAUAUCUGGAGGAACACCGGUGGCGAAGGCGGCAUCCUGGACCGGCAUUGACGCUGAGGCGCGAAAGCCAGGGGAGCAAACGGG